UGGUGAUCCUGUCCUUGCUUCCCUG
rnacentral:piRNA from 1 species